GUCAUUCCUUAAGUGCGUGCAAAACUGGAAGUUCCCCGGAAGAAGACCUACGGAGCCUUCAGGAAACCUAUGAGGAACAGAACUGUAGCAGACCCUCUCAAAGCCUGCACUUUCUUUUUUCCUCUGGAAGACUAUCAAGUAAGCUCAUGCUCCUUUGCCUAGUGAAUGCUGUCCAGUGAUCAGUGUCCAAACCCAUAACAUUUAGGGCUCAGCAACUUCUGCCUUUAUGGUGGAGAAAUGCCAAUGUCUGCCAUCCUAGAUGCUGCAUGAUGGAAGACACUGUUAGUGUUUGCGGAUGACUAGUUACCUGAAGGACAUUCAGAGGAUGGAUGUUUUUGCCUUGGAGCUCUUUGUUGUGGCUGGCAGUGUUUUGCCCUGACUGUUCUGUUCUGUGUUUCUGGGCUCACGUUUGUUGACCUUUCACCUUGUUGCAGUGGACACUUUCUUUAUAGUCUACUGGGAGGCUCUACCAUUCACACCUUGCAACCACCAUCUGUCCUGCUAGACAUCACCACCUCACAUGAAUGGGAACUGAGGUGUGGUGUGUGGGUGACGUAGUGCUGCACUGCCAUCUAGUGGAGGUGAUUGCAAUUGUGAGAUUUACUCCAGGCUGGGUUAAUUUCUCAAGAGCAUGUAUGCCUAAUUAGAAAAAACAGUUCCAGAUGCCAUGACUGGACAGGCCAGGCACUCACCCAGGUGUUGGGGCAGCUUGCCACCACGCUUCACCAGCAGGGACACACUGCUUCCACACUGCUUGAUCAGCUCAAUGGCAUCAG